rnacentral:SRP_RNA from 1 species
GCCAGGUGCAGUGGUGGACACCUAUAGCCCAGCUACUUGGGAGACUGAGGCAGGUGGAUCACUUCAGUCCAGGAGUCCUGGACUAUGGGGUGCUAUGCCAAUCAGGUGUAAGUUUCAAAUCCAUAUAGUAAUCUCCUCAGAGCAGGGGUCCACCAGAUUGGCUAAGGAGUGGUAAAUCAGCCCUGGUUGAAAUCAGAAGAGUUCAAAAUUCCCCUGCUGAUCAGUAGUGGGAUUGUGCCCACUGUGAAUAGCCAUUGCACUUCUGCCUGGGCAAUGUAUAAAUCCCA